UUUUGGACAAUGGGCGCAAGCCUGAUCCAGCCAUUCCGCGUGAGUGGAGAAGGCCUUCGGGUUGUAAAGCUCUUUCGCAAGGCAACCAAGAUUACUCUCUAAUAUAGAGUGAUUAUGACGGUACCUUGAUAAGAAGCACCGGCUAACUCCGUGCCAGCAGCCGCGGUAAUACGGAGGGAGCUAGCGUUGUUCGGAAUUACUGGGCGUAAAGCGCGCGUAGGCGGUUUUUUAAGUCAGAGGUGAAAGCCCAGUGCUCAACACUGGAACUGCCUUUGAAACUGGAAAACUUGAAUCUUGGAGAGGUCAGUGGAAUUCCGAGUGUAGAGGUGAAAUUCGUAGAUAUUCGGAAGAACCCCAGUGGCGAAGGCGACGACUGACAAGUAUUGACGCUGAGGUGCGAAA
rnacentral:rRNA from 1 species